rnacentral:rRNA from 1 species
GACGAACGCUGGCGGCGUGCUUAACACAUGCAAGUCGAACGGAAAGGCCCUGCUUUUGUGGGGUGCUCGAGUGGCGAACGGGUGAGUAACACGUGAGUAACCUGCCCUUGACUUUUGGAUAACUUCAGGAAACUGGGGCUAAUACCGGAUAGGAGCUCCUGCUGCAUGGUGGGGGUUGGAAAGUUUCGGCGGUUGGGGAUGGACUCGCGGCUUAUCAGCUUGUUGGUGGGGUAGUGGCUUACCAAGGCUUUGACGGGUAGCCGGCCUGAGAGGGUGACCGGCCACAUUGGGACUGAGAUACGGCCCAGACUCCUACGGGAGGCAGCAGUGGGGAAUAUUGCAAAAUGGGCGGAAGCCUGAUGCAGCAACGCCGCGUGCGGGAUGACGGCCUUCGGGUUGUAAACCGCUUUCGCCUGUGACGAAGCGUGAGUGACGGUAAUGGGUAAAGAAGCACCGGCUAACUACGUG